rnacentral:rRNA from 1 species
CCAUCUCACCACGAACCCAUCAUUAGUAUUGAAUAAACUCAUAAACUAUGAGAAUUAUUAUGCUAGAACUAGUAACAAGAAAAUGAAUUUCUCCAAAGCGUAAGCAUAAGUCAACAUGGACCACCCACUGACACAUAACGGUGCUGAAUCAACUAUAGUAAAACACCUAGAAAACUCUAUACCCCCCACCAUGCCGUUAACCUUACACAAGAACCCUUCUGGAAAGAUUAAAAGGAAGAGAAGGAACUCGGCAAAUAUUGGCCCCGCCUGUUUACCAAAAACAUCGCCUCUUGAUUAAAUAUAAGAGGUCCAGCCUGCCCAGUGUUCUAUAUCAACGGCCGCGUGAUUUAAGCGCGCGAAGGUAGCAUAAUAAUUUGUCCUUUAAAUGUGGACUAGUAUCAACGGCACCACGAGGGCCAUACUGUCUCCUCCCCCCAAUCAGUGAAACUAAUCUCCCUGUGAAAAAGCAGGGGUAAAACUAUAAGACGAGAAGACCCCAUGGAGCUUAAAACACAGCAUUAAUUCUAAUAACACCAUCAGUACAAUUUUAAAUAAUACAUGCUAGUUUUAGGUUGGGGUGACCGCGGAGUAAAACAAAACCUCCACAACGAAUAAGAGAUUAUCUCCUUAUCCAAGAGGCACUUCUCUAAGAAUUAUCUAAUAUAACGUCUAAUGACCCGACUAUCGAUCAACGGACCAAGUUACCCUGGGGAUAACAGCGCAAUCCGCUUUGAAAGCUCCUAUCGACAAGCGGGCUUACGACCUCGAUGUUGGAUCAGGGUAUCCCAGUGGUGCAGCCGCUACUAAAGG